AUAAAAGCUAGGAAGCAGCCAGUGGUUAAUCGUCCAGCGCAUUAGCAGGACAAUACUUAGCUAAGGCUUUCCCAGGACAGAUGACUCACAAUCAGCUGGGCUGGCCAGCGGGAAGCCAGAGGAAACAGAAUCCCACUGGAUCUCACAAGACAGCUCUGUUAGAAAGCAGGAGAGGUGUGGGAGGGGAGGUUCCAAGAGGCAUUGGCAAAUAGGGGAAAGAUCAAGGUCGCUGUCAGAGACAGUGAGCAGAAUGGCUCCACCAGAACCCAGGGUUCAUUAGCGGCAUUCUGAAAGGGUGCCUGGCAAUCUGGAAAGGAUUUGUCUCUGGCCUCCUUGACCUCUGCUCGCUCGAUUGUUCAACAAACAUUAGUUGAGAGCUUCACUCAUACAGGCCAUGUGGAUCCAGGUGAGGACGAGCCAUAGGAAACAGUACACAGGCUAAAGCAUGGAACGGUCAUGACCCCACUUUGACCAUGCAGCUGAGGACAACAUCCUAGGAACCAUGAUGCAACAGGAUGAGGAGGAAGCCACAGCCCAGCUGACCCCUCAGGGCUGCGCAGCACCGCCAGUCUGACCACUUGCUUCUGCUCUUUCUUGAGAA